rnacentral:snRNA from 1 species
AGCUUUGCGCAGUGGCAGUAUCAUAGCCAAUGAGGUUAAUCCGAGGCGUGAUUAUUGCUAGUUGAAAAUUUUCCCAUGAAUCAGUGCAGAAUUGUUGAUCCAGCAUGGUGG